UCGGACGGGUGAGUAACGCGUGGGUAACCUGCCCUGUACAGGGGGACAACAGUUGGAAACGACUGCUAAUACCGCAUAAGCGCACAGCUUCGCAUGAAGCAGUGUGAAAAACUCCGGUGGUACAGGAUGGACCCGCGUCUGAUUAGAUAGUUGGUGAGGUAACGGCCCACCAAGUCAACGAUCAGUAGCCGGCCUGAGAGGGCGAACGGCCACAUUGGGACUGAGACACGGCCCAA
rnacentral:rRNA from 1 species